CAUCCCCUCUGCCUCUGCUGAAGGUGGCUGCUCUUGCCUUACCAGCUCUCCUUCCUUUUCUCUCUUCGGUUCUCUCUUGGCUUUCUCUCCAACUGCCAGCCGAUCGGGUCAGGCAAGUCCGUCCCGUCCUGAGAGCCCCAGGCCCCCCUUCGACCUCUAACCAGAUCCCUCCUAUUCCUCGGAGACCUCCCUUUCCAAGCCUGCCCGGACGGCUGUUCUGUGACUUGACGGUGGCUUCCCAGCCCCAGAGCCUCCCCUCCACCUGUGACUUAGUCUGUUGUAGUGGUGAGCUGACACAUGCAGGCGUGACGUUGGUGAAAUUUUGUGCCCCUCUGUGGUCUUGCUCCUGCCCUGUUCUAUAAAUAUCUAUAAAUACUCAUAUAUAUACAUAUACAAACAUAUCUAUUGCCAAGGCUCGGCUCUGGUGUCAGGAAUCAAUCACCGUGCUGUCCUUGAGGAGUCUUGCAGCCCAACUACAAGGGAACACCUGUCACCCUGACAUCCCCCUCCAAAGCGUGCCACCUCCAGUGAGCCCCAGUGUCAUGCCCAGCCUGUGGACAGCCAGCCCCCUCUGCCAUCCUCCCGUCCCAACCCCCUCCUCGAGCGUGGGGGUACUGUGCUGGCAGCUGUGUGGUUC
rnacentral:lncRNA from 1 species